GGAAGUAAAAGUCGUAACAAGGUUUCCCUAGGUGAACCUGCGGAAGGAUCAUUAAAGAGUAAGGGUGCUCAGCGCCCCACCUCCAACCCUUUGUUGUUAAAACUACCUUGUUGCUUUGGCGGGACCCCUCGGUCUCGAGCCGCUGGGGAUUCGUCCCAGGCGAGCGCCCCCCAGAGUCAAACCAAACUCUUGUUAUUUAACCCGUCGUCUGAGUUAAAAAUUUGAAAAAAACAAAACUUUCAACAACGGAUCUCUUGGUUCUCGCAUCGAUGAAGAACGCAGCGAAAAGCGAUAAGUAAAGUGAAAUGCAGAAAUCAGUGAAACAUCGAAACUUUGAACGCACAUUGCGCCCCUUGGUAUUCCCAGGGGCAUGCCUGUUCGAGCGUCAUUACACCACUCAAGCUAUGCUUGGUAUUGGGCGUCGUCCUUAGUUGGGCGCGCCUUAAAGACCUCGGCGAGGCCACUCCCGCUUUAGGCGUAGUAGAAAUUAUUCGAACGUCUGUCAAAGGAGAGGAACUCUGCCCACUGAAACCUUUAUUUUUCUAGGUUGACCUCGGAUCAGGUAGGGAUACCCCCUGAACUUAAGCAUAUCAAAAAGCGGAGGA
rnacentral:rRNA from 1 species